UACGUAGGGUGCGAGCGUUGUCCGGAAUUACUGGGCGUAAAGAGCUCGUAGGUGGUUUGUCGCGUUGUUCGUGAAAACUCACAGCUUAACUGUGGGCGUGCGGGCGAUACGGGCAGACUGGAGUACUGCAGGGGAGACUGGAAUUCCUGGUGUAGCGGUGGAAUGCGCAGAUAUCAGGAGGAACACCUGUGGCGAAGGCGGCCCCCUGGUUGGAUACUGACGCUGAUACGCGAAAGCGUGGGGAGCAAACAGG
rnacentral:rRNA from 1 species